GGGCCGCUGCUGCCGCCGCCCGGGACGCGCAGCGCGCGCCGGACUGCACCGGUGGAGUUGGUUUCUUUUGUUCUCGGGAGCUGAAUAGGAGAAAGGGACACUUCAUCUUUUCCCGAUAAAGGUUAUGCAAUUUUACUUGAACUGCAAGGCAAGAAAAUUUCUCGAAGACUA